UACAGAGGGGGCAAGCGUUAUUCGGAAUUAUUGGGCGUAAAGGGCGCGUAGGCGGCCUGGCAAGUGGAAGGUGAAAUCCCUUGGCUUAACCGAGGAACUGCCCUCCAAACUGCUUGGCUUGAGUCCGGGAGAGGUGAGUGGAAUUCCCAGUGUAGCGGUGAAAUGCGUAGAUAUUGGGAGGAACACCAGUGGCGAAGGCGGCUCACUGGACCGGAACUGACGCUGAGGCGCGAAAGCGUGGGGAGCAAACGGG
rnacentral:rRNA from 1 species